rnacentral:rRNA from 1 species
GCUAAAUAGCUAGCUUAACUAUUUAUUAACUUAACCACAUAGAUAAAACAAAACAAACACACAACCAUAAGUCUAAACCAUUUUUUCACCUGAGUAUGGGCGACAGAAAAGGUUAUACUAAAGCAAUAGAGAAAGUACCGUGAGGGAAAGCUGAAAGAGAAAUGAAACAAACCAUAUAAGCACUAAAAAGCAAAGACUAAACCUUGUACCUUUUGCAUCAUGAUUUAGCCAGUACGCCCAAGCAAAGAGACCUUUAGUUUGAAGCCCCGAAACUAGGUGAGCUACCCCGAGACAGCCUAUUAAGGGCCAACUCAUCUCUGUGGCAAAAGAGUGAGAAGAGCUCCGGGUAGAGGUGAUAAAUCUACCGGACCUAGUGAUAGCUGGUUACCUAAAAAAUGAAUAAAAGUUCAGCCUCAUCCACCUCAAGUCAAAUAUAAUAAACAAGACUUAAUGAGAAAUACAUGAGAGUUAGUUAAAGGGGGUACAGCCCCUCUAACCAAGGACACAACCUUUCAGGUGGAUAAAGAUCACAGUACACAAAAUAUACCGUUCUAGUGGGCCUAAAAGCAGCCAUCUAAAUAGAAAGCGUCAAAGCUCAGACCAAAAAAAAUUUAUUAUUCCGAUAACAAAUCUUAAUCCCCUAAAAUUAUUAGGCCAAUCCAUGCCCGCAUGAAAGAGAUUAUGCUAAAAUGAGUAACAAGAAGGCCCGCCCUUCUCCCCAGCACAAGUGUAAGCCAAGUCGGACCAACCAUUGGCAAUUAACGAACCCAGCCAAAGAGGGAAAUGUGAACUACAAAUAAAAUCAAGAAAAAUCCACAACUAAGCUAUCGUUAUCCUUACACUAGAGUGCCAUCACUAGGGGAAAGACUAAAAGAGACGAAAGGAACUCGGCAAACACAAGCCUCGCCUGUUUACCAAAAACAUCGCCUCCUGCAAUAAUAUAAUGUAUAGGAGGUCCAGCCUGCCCAGUGACCACAAAUUUAACGGCCGCAGUAUUCUGACCGUGCGAAGGUAGCGCAAUCACUUGUCUUUUAAAUAAAGACCUGUAUGAACGGUUAAACGAGGGCUUAACUGUCUCCCAUCUCCAGUCAGUGAAAUUGAUCUAUCCGUGCAGAAGCGGGUAUAAUAAUACAAGACGAGAAGACCCUUUGGAGCUUAAGGUACAAAACUUAAUCACGUAAAGCAAUUCAAUAAAAAACAACCCUUUAAUCUCGUGACAAAUAAGACCAUACCUUCGGUUGGGGCAACCAUGGAGGAAAAAAAAGCCUCCAAGUGGACUGAGGCAAGCCACCUUAAAACCAAGAGAGACAUCUCUAAGCCACAGAACAUCUGACCAUAAAUGAUCCGAUCAACUAAGAUCGAUCAACGAACCAAGUUACCCAAGGGAUAACAGCGCAAUCCCCUCCAAGAGCCCAUAUCGACGAGGGGGUUUACGACCUCGAUGUUGGAUCAGGACAUCCUAAUGGCGCAACCGCUAUUAAGGGUUCGUUUGUUCAACGAUUAAAGUCCUACGUGAUCUGAGUUCAGACCGGAGUAAUCCAGGUCAGUUUCUAUCUGUAACGCUACUUUUCCUAGUACGAAAGGACCAGAAAAGAGGGGCCCAUGCUUAAAGCACGCCCCACCCCUAAUUUAUGAAAACAAAUAAAUAAACAAAGGAGGGCCAAAAUCCCAACCUGCCAAAAUAAGGCUU